AAACCAAUCCAGCUUGCUGGGUCUUGGGCUUUUCGCCUCUGGGCGGGCCUCAAAAUCAGUGGCGGUGCUGCCAGGCUCUAAGCGUAGUAAUUCUUCUCGCUACAGAGUCCUGGUGGAGGCUUGCCAAUAACCCUAAAUCUUUCAAA
rnacentral:misc_RNA from 1 species